UACGGUAGGGUGCAAGCGUUGUCCGGAAUUAUUUGGGCGGUAAAGAGCUCGUAGGCGGUUUGUCGCGUCUGCCUGUGGAAAACCCGAGGCUCAACCUCGGGCCUGCAGUGGGUACGGGCAGACUAGAGUGCGGUAGGGGAGAUUGGAAUUCCUGGUGUAGCGGUGGAAUGCGCAGAUAUCAGGAGGAACACCGAUGGCGAAGGCAGAUCUCUGGGCCGUAACUGACGCUGAGGUGCGAAAGCGUGGGGAGCAAACAGG
rnacentral:rRNA from 1 species